rnacentral:rRNA from 1 species
AAGGUAGCGUAAUCACCUGUCUUUUAAAUAAAGACCUGUAUGAAUGGCAAGACGAGGGUUUUACUGUCUCCUCCCCCCAGUCAAUGAAAUUGAUCUACCCGUGCAGAAGCGGGUAUAAAAACAUAAGACGAGAAGACCCUAUGGAGCUUUAGGCAUAUAUCAAAUAUGUAAAAAACCAAAUUUUUCCAAAUAGGCCUAAAAAAUGAGAAAAACAAGUAUUAAUGAUUAAGUGCCUUCGGUUGGGGCGACCACGGGGAAAAAUAAAACCCCCACAUGGAAUGGGAAAAAUAACCCUAAGCCAAGAAAAACACUUCUAAGCAACAAAAUUUUUGACCAAUAAACGACCCAGGGACACAUCCCUGAGCAAUGAACCAAGUUACCCUAGGGAUAACAGCGCAAUCCUUUCCCAGAGCCCAUAUCAACGAAAGGGUUUACGACCUCGAUGUUGGAUCAGGGCAUCCUAACGGUGCAGCCGCU